rnacentral:rRNA from 1 species
ACACAUGCAAGUCGAGGGGCAGCAUGGCUCUUAGCUUGCUAAGGCCGAUGGCGACCAGCGCACGGGUGAGUAACACGUAUCCAACCUGCCGUCUACUCUUGGACAGCCUUCUGAAAGGAAGAUUAAUACAAGAUGGCAUCAUGAGUCCGCAUGUUCACAUGAUUAAAGGUAUUCCGGUAGACGAUGGGGAUGCGUUCCAUUAGAUAGUAGGCGGGGUAACGGCCCACCUAGUCUUCGAUGGAUAGGGGUUCUGAGAGGAAGGUCCCCCACAUUGGAACUGAGACACGGUCCAAACUCCUACGGGAGGCAGCAGUGAGGAAUAUUGGUCAAUGGGCGAGAGCCUGAACCAGCCAAGUAGCGUGAAGGAUGACUGCCCUAUGGGUUGUAAAUUUCUUUUAUAAAGGAAUAAAGUCGGGUAUGGAUACCCGUUUGCAUGUACUUUAUGAAUAAGGAUCGGCUAACUCCGUGCCAGCAGCCGCGGUAAUACGGAGGAUCCGAGCGUUAUCCGGAUUUAUUGGGUUUAAAGGGAGCGUAGAUGGAUGUUUAAGUCAGUUGUGAAAGUUUGCGGCUCAACCGUAAAAUUGCAGUUGAUACUGGAUAUCUUGAGUGCAGUUGAGGCAGGCGGAAUUCGUGGUGUAGCGGUGAAAUGCUUAGAUAUCACGAAGAACUCCGAUUGCGAAGGCAGCCUGCUAAGCUGCAACUGACAUUGAGGCUCGAAAGUGUGGGUAUCAAACAGGAUUAGAUACCCUGGUAGUCCACACGGUAAACGAUGAAUACUCGCUGUUUGCGAUAUACAGCAAGCGGCCAAGCGAAAGCGUUAAGUAUUCCACCUGGGGAGUACGCCGGCAACGGUGAAACUCAAAGGAAUUGACGGGGGCCCGCACAAGCGGAGGAACAUGUGGUUUAAUUCGAUGAUACGCGAGGAACCUUACCCGGGCUUAAAUUGCAGAUGAAUUACGGUGAAAGCCGUAAGCCGCAAGGCAUCUGUGAAGGUGCUGCAUGGUUGUCGUCAGCUCGUGCCGUGAGGUGUCGGCUUAAGUGCCAUAACGAGCGCAACCCUUGUUGUCAGUUACUAACAGGUUCCGCUGAGGACUCUGACAAGACUGCCAUCGUAAGAUGUGAGGAAGGUGGGGAUGACGUCAAAUCAGCACGGCCCUUACGUCCGGGGCUACACACGUGUUACAAUGGGGGGUACAGAGGGCCGCUACCACGCGAGUGGAUGCCAAUCCCCAAAACCUCUCUCAGUUCGGACUGGAGUCUGCAACCCGACUCCACGAAGCUGGAUUCGCUAGUAAUCGCGCAUCAGCCACGGCGCGGUGAAUACGUUCCCGGGCCUUGUACACACCGCCCGUCAAGCCAUGGGAGCCGGGGGUACCUGAAGUGCGUAACCGCGAGGAGCGCCCUAGGGUAAAACUGGUGACUGGGGCUAAGAA